rnacentral:rRNA from 1 species
GAUGAACGCUGGCGGCGUGCCUAAUACAUGCAAGUCGAGCGAACAGACGAGGAGCUUGCUCCUCUGACGUUAGCGGCGGACGGGUGAGUAACACGUGGAUAACCUACCUAUAAGACUGGGAUAACUUCGGGAAACCGGAGCUAAUACCGGAUAAUAUAUUGAACCGCAUGGUUCAAUAGUGAAAGACGGUUUUGCUGUCACUUAUAGAUGGAUCCGCGCCGCAUUAGCUAGUUGGUAAGGUAACGGCUUACCAAGGCAACGAUGCGUAGCCGACCUGAGAGGGUGACAGGCCACACAGGAACUGAGACACGGUCCAGACUCCUACGGGAGGCAGCAGUAGGGAAUCUUCCGCAAUGGGCGAAAGCUUGACGGAGCAACGCCGCGUGAGUGAUGAAGGUCUUCGGAUCGUAAAACUCUGUUAUUAGGGAAGAACAAAUGUGUAAGUAACUAUGCACGUCUUGACGGUACCUAAGCAUAAAGCCACGGCUAACUACGU